CAACUGCAGUACCACCAGCAACAAUAUCUGCAGGACCAUCAGAUAUAUUAUAAAAUAGUAUUUAAAAUCAGUUGUCAGCCACAUGUGGUCUAUAUGAUGCAACAUGUUUGCAAUUGUUGGCAUGUCAUUUAAAAAUUUGUAACUAAUUUUGCUUUUUAAUAUUACCAUUAAUAUGACUUUUAAAAUAACAAAAUUUUUUAUUUGUUUCAAAAAAUACUGUUUUAUUACUUACAAUAUAGUAUGUUAUUACAAGAUACUUCUGGCUUUUUCUCUGUUUCAAACCAGUUUAGUUAUAUCUUUUGUUCACAAAUUUUAUUAGACGCUAUACACAUAGUUUCAUAGGUUUAAACUGAUAAAUAGCACUUUAUUGUUUUUGUUCAUUUUAGAUUAGUAUAGCAAAAAAUUAAUAAUAUAUUCGUUUAUAUA